AUGACUUUAACAGAGAACUCCAGUGAUGCCACCUGGUCCUGUGCCACAUCACAUGCAGCCCUGAAGAGCAGUGUCAUCUGCUCUUCCUGCAGGUCACUGUCAAAGGCACUAAUAUAUCUGAAGAAGUGCUGCUUGAAUAACAAUGGUUCCUGUUUAUCACAUGCUGACAGGGGUCAGGCAUUGAGAAGGAUGCUGCAAAUACCAUGGCAGCCGUGUGUUUUCUGA
rnacentral:lncRNA from 12 species